rnacentral:rRNA from 1 species
ACGCACGCUGGCGGCGUGCUUAACACAUGCAAGUCGAACGGUGAAGCGCCUUCCUUUUUGGUGGGUGUGGAUGAGUGGCGAACGGGUGAGUAACACGUGAGUAACCUGCCCCCUUCUUCUGGAUAACCGCAUGAAAGUGUGGCUAAUACGGGAUAUUCUGGGUCUGUCGCAUGAUGGGUCUGGGAAAGAUAUUGUUUCGGUGGGGGAUGGGCUCGCGGCCUAUCAGCUUGUUGGUGGGGUGAUGGCCUACCAAGGCGGUGACGGGUAGCCGGCCUGAGAGGGUGGACGGUCACACUGGGGCUGAGACACGGCCCAGACUCCUACGGGAGGCAGCGGUGGGGAAUAUUGCACAAUGGGCGCAAGCCUGAUGCAGCGACGCCGCGUGAGGGAUGGAGGCCUUCGGGUUGUGAACCUCUUUCGCCAGUGAAGCAGGCCUGCCUCGUUUGUGGGUGGGUUGACGGUAGCUGGAUAAGAAGCGCCGGCUAACUACGUG